rnacentral:rRNA from 1 species
CCUACGGGCGGCAGCAGUGAGGAAUAUUGGUCAAUGGGCGCGAGCCUGAACCAGCCAAGUAGCGUGAAGGAUGACUGCCCUACGGGUUGUAAACUUCUUUUAUAAAGGAAUAAAGUGAGGCACGUGUGCCUUUUUGUAUGUACUUUAUGAAUAAGGAUCGGCUAACUCCGUGCCAUCAGCCGCGGUAAUACGGAGGAUCCGAGCGUUAUCCGGAUUUAUUGGGUUUAAGGGGAGCGUAGAUGGGUUGUUAAGUCAGUUGUGAAAGUUUGCGGCUCAACCGUAAAAUUGCAAUUGAUACUGGCAGUCUUGAGUACAGUUGAGGUAGGCGGAAUUCGUGGUGUAGCGGUGAAAUGCUUAGAUAUCACGAAGAACUCCGAUUGCGAAGGCAGCUUACUAAACUGCCACUGACAUUGAUGCUCGAAAGUGUGGGUAUCAAACAGGAUUAGAUACCCCGGUAGUC